CAAAGAGCCAAGGUCAAAAACAAACAAAACAAGAAACCUAAGUUUUCAACUCCAAAUUAAACUCAAUACAACAACAAUUUCAUGCGAUAAUCAUGGGGUUCACGUUCUAUGAGACGAUAUGAACAAGAUGGUAACAUAAAACAUGCAAAGGAGAAUUUUAAAUACCAAAUCGGAGCUAGCCCGAUGUUCAAACUCCGACGAGGUGAGGUAAGCAAUCUUUAGAACUU
rnacentral:lncRNA from 1 species